UACGGAGGGGGCUAGCGUUGUUCGGAAUUACUGGGCGUAAAGCGCACGUAGGCGGCUUUGUAAGUUAGAGGUGAAAGCCCGGGGCUCAACUCCGGAAUUGCCUUUAAGACUGCAUCGCUAGAAUUGUGGAGAGGUAAGUGGAAUUCCGAGUGUAGAGGUGAAAUUCGUAGAUAUUGGGAAGAACACCGGUGGCGAAGGCGGCGACCUGGUCCGAUACUGGACGCUGAGGCGCGAAAGCGUGGGGAGCAA
rnacentral:rRNA from 1 species